rnacentral:tRNA from 1 species
UCCCUGGUGGCCCACUGGCUAAGACUUUGUUUUCCCAAUGCAAGGGGCCCAGGUUCAAUUCCUGGUCAGGGAA